rnacentral:rRNA from 1 species
UGGGGAAUAUUGCACAAUGGGCGCAAGCCUGAUGCAGCCAUGCCGCGUGUAUGAAGAAGGCCUUCGGGUUGUAAAGUACUUUCAGUCGGGAGGAAGGUGUCAAGGUUAAUAACCUUGGCAAUUGACGUUACCGACAGAAGAAGCACCGGCUAACUCCGUGCCAGCAGCCGCGGUAAUACGGAGGGUGCAAGCGUUAAUCGGAAUUACUGGGCGUAAAGCGCACGCAGGCGGUUGAUUGAGUCAGAUGUGAAAUCCCCGGGCUUAACCCGGGAAUUGCAUCUGAUACUGGUCAGCUAGAGUCUUGUAGAGGGGGGUAGAAUUCCAUGUGUAGCGGUGAAAUGCGUAGAGAUGUGGAGGAAUACCGGUGGUGAAGGCGGCCCCCUGGAUAAAGACUGACGCUCAGGUGCGAAAGCGUGGGGAGCAAACAGG